AAAUUGAAGAGUUUGAUCAUGGCUCAGAUUGAACGCUGGCGGCAGGCCUAACACAUGCAAGUCGAGCGGUAGCACAGAGAGCUUGCUCUCGGGUGACGAGCGGCGGACGGGUGAGUAAUGUCUGGGAAACUGCCUGAUGGAGGGGGAUAACUACUGGAAACGGUAGCUAAUACCGCAUAAUGUCGCAAGACCAAAGUGGGGGACCUUCGGGCCUCAUGCCAUCAGAUGUGCCCAGAUGGGAUUAGCUAGUAGGUGGGGUAACGGCUCACCUAGGCGACGAUCCCUAGCUGGUCUGAGAGGAUGACCAGCCACACUGGAACUGAGACACGGUCCAGACUCCUACGGGAGGCAGCAGUGGGGAAUAUUGCACAAUGGGCGCAAGCCUGAUGCAGCCAUGCCGCGUGUGUGAAGAAGGCCUUCGGGUUGUAAAGCACUUUCAGCGGGGAGGAAGGCGUUAAGGUUAAUAACCUUGGCGAUUGACGUUACCCGCAGAAGAAGCACCGGCUAACUCCGUGCCAGCAGCCGCGG
rnacentral:rRNA from 1 species